GGGGCAGUAGCUCAGCGGUUAGAGCUGCGGACUCAUAAUCCGUAGGUCGUAGGUUCAAGUCCUACCUGCCCCA
rnacentral:tRNA from 1 species